rnacentral:lncRNA from 1 species
AGCCACUAAAUAAGAGAAAUUAAUUAAAUCAAUAAAUCAUGUUCACAAAAUUAUUAAUAAAACAUAAGAAAACAAAAGUAACGGGCAAAAAUACACAUCAAGAAAAAUUAAAAAUUUAAAAAUAAAAAUAAAAACAUCGACAUAACUUGAAAAUAAAAAUAUAAGUUAAAAAGGUAAGAGUUAAAAAAUAAAAUCAACC